UUGCCAUGGAGGGCCGUGUGUAUGCAGGUUUUCAUUCCAACCAAUUAAUGCUGCCUUAAUUGAGUCCAAUUACUCAUUCAGCCAUAUGCGUUUAACUGCAUUGAAGCACAGAAUAUAAGAAAAUUUUUAUUUAGACAAUGCGGGUCACCAUAGACGUCAGGUCACCAUUGUGCACAAACCUGCAUCCCUAAUUCAGCAAAUAAUUUAACUAAUUAUAUAAUCAAGAUCUGAGGCUGGAAUGAAAACCUGCAUACACAUGGCCCUCCAUGGCAACGAGUUUGACACCACUGCCUUAGACAACAGAAGAGAAAACAGUAGGAGGAGGGUGAAAUACCAGUCUUAAAGUUUCAGCUGACUACACUGGAGGAACUUGGUGUGGAGGGGGAAGUUUUUUUGACUAAUAAAAAACGCAUCCCUUUGAGGCGGUAUACUACGCAACCAAUGGCGCCACCACUUUCAUGAAAAAAGCAUUAGAGGAUUUCUCCAUGUCAGUAAUAGCCCAAGAGGAAACCCAACAUCGAAGCGAGAAACCAGCUGUGAAAAAGUGUCACGAUUUCCUUAUGGCUGUCCAGACCCUGUUGAAUACAAAAUACACUUGGUGUAUGCAACAAUUGAAGACAUUAGAAGACAUGUUUGUCCAAUCCCUUUGGAAUAGGCUAGUGCAUUGAAUCCUCAAGCUCCACUAGGCCUACACGUUCCCGCUGCACCACUGAAGUCUCCGGCUCCUGCACCACUGAAGUUGUCUCCGACUCCUGCACCACUGAAUUUGUCUCUUGCUGGACCAUCCCCUGCCUCUGCGCCAAAGUGGGCACCAGUCUCAAACCCCCAACAAAUGCAAAAGGGCAACUUGAAGACAUUUGCAUCCACAUCUGAAGCACCCCAGUGGUUUGAGCAGCAUGUCACUGAGCAGAGGAGGCAGAUGUCGGAACUCAUGGUCCUGCAAAAACAAGCAAUGGAAGUGGCAAGUGAAAGGAAUGACAUCUUAAAACAAUUUUCUUUAACAAAGAAAAAAUAGGAACUUAUUCCCACAUUCUGCUGAUGGCUUAGGUUCUAUUUUGUUUGUUUACUGGCAUGAUUCAUGGCAUGAUGUAGUCUAUGCUGCAAGGAAAUAAAUCACAUU